rnacentral:rRNA from 1 species
AGAUGAGUAUUCUCAGGCGCUCGGGUGAUGAGUUGUUAAGGAACUAGGCAAAUUAACCCCGUAACUUCGGGAGAAGGGGUGCCCACGCAAGUGGGCCGCAGUGAAUAGCGUCAGGCGACUGUUUAACAAAAACACAGGUCUCUGCUAAGUCGAAAACGAUGUAUAGGGGCUGACGCCUGCCCGGUGCCGGAAGGUUAAAGGGAGUGGUUAGCGCAAGCGAAGCUACGAACUGAAGCCCCGGUGAAUGGCGGCCGUAACAAUAACGGUCCUAAGGUAGCAAAAUUCCUUGUCGGGUAAGUUCCGACCUGCACGAAUGGCGUAACGAUCUGACGACUGUCUCAACAACUCGCCCGGCGAAUUUGUGGUUCCGGUGAAGACGCCGGAUGCCCGCCACAAGACGGAAAGACCCCGUACACCUUUACUAUACCCUAUCAGUGAAUUAUGGGUUGAACUGCGCAGGAUAGGUGGGAGGCUUUGAGAUCAGGUUUUUGGACUUGAUGGAGCCAAUGGUAGAUACCACCCUGUUCAAUCUGUGAUUCUAACCUGCUUCCAUGAUCUGGAAGAGGGACACUGGUAGGCGGGUAGUUUGACUGGGGCGGUCGCCUCCUAAAUUGUAACGGAGGCGCUCGAAGCUGCGUUCAGGUGGUUUGGAAAUCCACCGACGAGUGCAAAGGCAUAAACGCGGUUAACUGCGAGACCUACAAGUCAAGCAGGUGGGAAACCAGGACUUAGUGAUCCGGUGAUUCUGUAUGGAAGGGUCAUCGCUCAACGGAUAAAAGGUACGCCGGGGAUAACAGGCUGAUCGGAGUCAAGAGUUCACAUCGACGCUCCGGUUUGGCACCUCGAUGUCGGUUCAUCGCAUCCCGGGGGUGUAGAAGCUCCCAAGGGUUAGGCUGUUCGCCUAUUAAAGAGGUACGUGAACUGGGUUCAGAACGUCGCGAGACAGUUCGGUCCCUAUCUGUGGUGGGCGCAGGAAAUUUGAGGGGGCUUGGCCUUAGUACGAGAGGACCGGGCUGAACGAACCUCUUGUGAUACAGUUGUCACUCCAGUGGCACAGCUGUGUAGCGAAGUUCGGUUAGGAUAAGCGCUGAAUGCAUAUAAGUGCGAAACCUUCCCCAAGAUGAGAUUUCCCAACCGUAAGGUAAUAAGGGCCGUGGAAGACUACCACGUUGAUAGGACGGGUGUGUAAGAGUAGUAAUACUUUGAGCUAACCGUUACUAAUAGCCCGUUCGGCUUGACCAA